CAUGUGUAGCAUGCCUUGUGGUUUUGCUUCAAAUUACGGAGGUAUUUGGUGCUUUAAUUGUGACUACCAUCUUAUUUCUGGGUAACUACAUUGUAGGGAACGGCGAUCGGAAGAUCUCGCGAUGGCACGGAAAGAGGAAGGAAGAGGAAGGAUAUGACGUAGAGAUAGCAGURUGCUUGUAGGUAUAUAAGCAAAUACAUGCGUACAAUAAACGCCAUUUGCAGCAUCCUCAUAUUGGUGUCAGUGCUCAUUGGCCCGGAGGCUGGGGGAGCCUCCGUGCCGUCUCAGGCGAACGGGAGAKUGUCGCAUCAGAAGGCGACAAGUGGUGACCCCGACGUGAUAGCUGAGACGGCRGACCGCAGGCGGUCGAGAGGAUCCGGAUCAUGGACGCGGUAGUUAAGGUUGUACGCGUGGGUGCCCGGGAAUGGGGGCUCUCUAUGAGAGCGGAUGCAGUUGCGAACUGUGUCGGGCGGCUCCUGAAAGAAGGAGCGAUAGUUAGACCAGGGGACAUUYUUUCCCCUUCUAACUGGGAGAAAUGCACUCGAGCGCUCGCUCAGAGAGCUAUGGCCACGAAGAAGGCUGCAGAGCUCAAGACAUGGGGAGACGUAAUGACCAUUUUACAAAGGACUAGGGAGGAGCGUGAGACCUGGCAGGCUGCUCGCGCGGUGCUGCACAUGUCCGCGGAAAUGGCGACACAGACAGCAGCGAACACAGAGGAGCGAACGGAGGUGAUAGAGGGGGAGGCAAAAACUCCAGAGGCUUACCCAAUAAUGCCCUCUUCUCCGCCACCGCCRYGGUACCCGUGGAAAGAGAUGAGGGCGAUGGAAGGGGGAGAACCAGGAGACCUUUGUGGAGACCGAGAUAUGUGAAAGCCAGUGGCGGGUAGAGGAAAAGAAAGCAAGGUGAAAGUGGAGGAGGCAGAAGAAAAGGAAAGACCGCUUAUAGUGGAUGAUCCCCRAGACUGGCURCCGGGGGCCAURAUUCGGGUGCAGUGGGAAGACGAAAGAAGAGAGGAAGCAGGGGAAAGACCGAGGGUGCCGCACCCGGGGAAAGAUGGCGCUGGCCGAGAGAGGAGUGGGCGUCGACCAGCACUGCGGAAGGAGGAGACUGAAGACUCAGGCACAGACUCUGACCCCUUAGAAGGAAUAACGAUGAAGAUGCAGCAACUAGGGCGGAGUUCCCCGCCGCAGUCAGAUGCGGAAGGAAAAAAGGGGAAGAAAGUCACAAGAGAUAUGGAGCAGAUGUUUAUGCUGCUUACAGCUCUGGAAGAGGAAAUAGCUAAACAAAGAGGGCUAUUAGAGGCAGCAGCUAAACAAAGAGGGCUAUUAGAGGCAGCAGGUUCCGCCCAAGCGGGAGGGGGAAAAGAAAUUCCUCUAACGGACUGGAAACUGAUAGCUACGGAAUGUGCCCUGAGUGGCCUCAAGUUUCGUGCGCCAAUAGGGGCCUUCCCAGUAUGAGUUGCCCCCGGGGGGGGGGGCAGUGGAAUGGGUGCCCCUCGACCCAAAGACGGUACAACAGCUAUUGAAAGCAGUAGAACUUGCAUCUUUACCAGACGCUGCAAAAGGAGCGGUGAUGUUGGAAUGUAUCAAACADCAGGGCAACGAGUUGACAAAAGAAAUCCUAAGAACAGCGCCUAAGGGAGCAAGUCUAGGGCAGACGAUCAAGUACGUAUUAGAACACCGGGACAAGACCACAGCCCUACAGAUUGCUGCAGCAGUUAUGGCAAUGCCGGAGGUUAGAGCUAGAGGAGGUCCAAAAGGAGGCCCAUGCUUUGGCUGCGGGCGAAUGGGCCAUUUGAGAGCACAGUGCACGAAUAAGGGAAGUUACGCGCGCCCAACAAGGGGUAUGGGGAGCCUUAGAUGCUGGGCC
ensembl:lncRNA